ACCAAGGCUAACAAGGGACGGACAAAACCAUAGGCUUCUAUAUUUGCGUUAGCUUUUAGUUUCCUAUUUUUGUCAACCAUGGCACACAGUACACAAGUAGUCAACCAAAUACCAGUAAAAUAGUCCUCACCAUAGCCUCGCUGCCACCAGAUGGCGCUAUUAUUCUUUACAUAUUUUGUCACCAGCAGAGCAGGAUACGUAGGCAACCUUGCAGGCUUAUCUCUGCGCAUUCAGUUCCCUCGGGAGAAAUCUUCCCUCACUCCCCAUCCACCCCCAUGAAACAACACCUCUGAUAAGGGUGUCUAUGUGAUUUUUGCACUUGCAUAGGAGAGGAGACGGAGUGAUUCCAACGGCACUUGACACCCAGCGGGGCAAGGUGGUCACUGACCUGGAUGACUUUCAAGCAACAGGUACAGCACCUUAAGCAAAGCAAACAGUGUUUGGUGUUUGGUUCAUAAUAAGUCAACAUCUCCAAGCAUGAAAUGGACCACGUUUGU